rnacentral:rRNA from 1 species
AUGGCGGAGACAGUGGUGAGCAUGGCGAGGUCCAUGGUGAGGGGCGCCAUCAGCGUGGCCGCUUCUGCCGCUGCCGCUGAGGUGGGCCUCCUCGUCGGCGUCCGAAAGGAUAUCUGGUUCAUUAAAGACGAGCUCGAGACGAUGGAGGCAUUCCUGGAGGUCGCUGAAUCAAUAAAGAAGAAAGAUGUGCUCCUCAAGGUGUGGGCAAAACAAGUAAGGGAUCUGUCGUACAACAUUGAAGAUUGCCUCAGUGAGUUCAUGGUGCAUGUGGGAAGCCAAAGCUUCUUACGUCGGCUCAUGAAGCUCAAAGAUCGCCAUCGGAUCGCUGUACGGAUACGCGAUCUCAAAGCAAGAGUUGAAGAAGUAAGCAUCAGGAACACACGCUAUAACUUGAUCAAGGCGGAGGCCUCCAACACCACGGGUGACAUGGAUUCUCACAUGGAAGAUGUUCGCAAUCACUCGGCUAGCAACAUUGAUGAAGCAGAACUUGUUGGCUUUUCCAAGCCGAAGAAGGAGUUAAUUAAGUUGAUGGAUGUCAAGACUGAAGAAGGUACAGCCAAGGUGGUAUUUGUUGUUGGCAUGGGUGGUUUAGGAAAAACUACUCUUGCCAGGAAAGCAUUUGAAAGUAAGGAAGAUAUUGUGAAUAAUUUUUCUUGCCAGGCUUGGAUCACAGUCUCGCAGACAUUUUCCAAGAUAGAGAUGCUCAAGGAUAUGAUCAUGCAACUUUUUGGAAAUGAAGAUCUGAAGAAGCGUUUGAAGGAACUUGAGGGGAAGACGGUGCAAGUAGUUGAUCUCGCCAGAUACCUUAGGGAAAAGCUACAAGAGAAGAGGUACUUUAUUGUUCUUGAUGACUUGUGGACCAUUGAUGCAUGGGGGUGGAUCAAAGAUAUUGCUUUUCCUACUACCAACAUCAAAGGUAGCCGGAUAAUAGUAACAACACGAGAUAUUGGCCUAGCUCAGCAGUGUACUUCCAAAUCGCUUAUUUACCACCUUGAACACCUACAUAUAGAUCAAGCCACAAAUUUGCUACUGAAAAAGAUUGGGAAAACAGACGAAGAAACAAAAAGUGAUGAAAGGAUGCAGAACGUGAUUUCCAAAAUAGUAAAUAAGUGUGGUGGUUUACCAUUGGCUAUACUCACCAUAGGAGGUUUGCUUGCUACCAAAGUGGUAGAAAUGUGGGAGAGUAUUUAUGAGCAGAUUCCCUCAGAGCUUGGGACUAACCCAAGCCUUGAAGCAAUGAGGAGGAUGGUUACUCUUAGUUACAACCAUUUGCCAUCUCAUCUUAAAUCGUGCUUCCUAUAUUUAAGCAUCUUUCCGGAAGAUUUUGAAAUCAAGAGAAGACGUUUGGUUGAUAGAUGGAUAGCAGAGGGGCUUGUUAGAGCUAGUGGUGGAGUUAAUGUUGAGGAUGUUGGAAUAGGUUAUUUCAAUGAGCUAAUCAACCGAAACAUGAUUCAACUAUCAAAAGUGAACGUAGAAGGAAUUGUUAAGAGCUGCCGGGUCCAUGAUAUCAUGCGUGAUGUAAUGGUCUCAAUUUCUAGAGAUGAAAACUUUGUGCACCUGUCAAUACGGAGAUUAAGAGGAUUGCAGAACUUGGACAUCAGAGACAGUUAUAUUGUAGCACUGCCAACUGAGAUCACUGAACUCCAUAGUCUCCGCAGCCUUCGCUGUAGCAGAUGGGCUCCGUACUCUAGCCGGUGGUCCAAGACAAAUGGUGUUGGGGUUCCAAGAGGGAUCAGUAAAUUAAAGGAGCUGCAGAUACUAGAGGUGGUGGACAUCAAUCAAACCAGCAAGAAAGCAGUUAAAGAGUUGGGGGAGCUUAUUCAGCUAAGAAAACUAAGCAUUGUAGGUAAAGGAAGGUUUGCCGAUCAAAAACGCAAGAUACUCUAUCUCUGUGCCGCCAUAGAGAAGCUCUCCUCCCUGCGCUCUCUUAGUCUGGAUGUUGGAAGUGGGUCACUCGAGUGGUUGCAUAAUGUUUCCUCCCCUCCUGCCCUGCUAAAGAAGUUGAAGUUGCUCGGAGAUCUUGGAGGGAAGAUGCCCGAGUGGGUUGGAAGUCUGAAGCAUUUGGUGAAGAUUCACUUGGAGUGGAGCAGACUAAAGGAAGAUCAAGUCACGGAAAUGCUAGGAAAGCUGCCCAAGCUCAUGCUCUUCAGUCUAGAUAGUUAUGCUUAUGUUGGGAAGAAGCUAGUGUUCAGAGCAGAAGCAUUUGUGAAUCUCAGAAAACUUAGUAUUGAUAUUACUUAUCCACUGACGGAGGUGCGAUUCGAGAAGGGCGCCUCGCCCAAGAUGGAAUUGAUAGAAUUCAGUGAUGGCGAUUUGAAAUCAGAGAUUAUUGGUAUCAAUCACCUUCCAGUGCUCAAGCAGAUUUCACUUGGUAGAAAAGGCAGAGUGGCGAACCUUGGGAGACCUGCAGCGAGCAUGACUUGGGGGACGUCGUCCAAGGAUCCGAUGAUGCAGAAGCAGAGGAGGAACCAUCCCUUUUUCCUGAGCGUGCAGCAAUGGGAGAGGGCUCCUCGCAGGCGACGAACCUCAGAUCACCUUCACCUCUCUGUAUUUUCUUUACGCUCACAACCAGAAGUGGUGGCCAUGCCGACGAGGAAUGUCCUCAGUCAGGAUGAUCUGCUCUACGCUUACAACCCAUGCCGAUUUGUAAUUGAUGAUGGUCUCGUCUCAGUCCUUUCAACUCUUCAGCACUUCCUGGUGCCUCCUUCUACCACCGUGCUGGUUACUAGCUACCAAGGAAUCAACUGGAGGAAGUUAUCUCGCUACAUGUUGUACAUAUACUUGCAAUUUCUGAUACAUGGUGUUGUCGCUCUGCGAACACAUCUAUAUUCAGCUGCGGGGAGAAGUGGAAGCUCCAACGGGCUAUAUCAUAAAACGCUACUCAAGUUUGGUGGCUGGUUGUGGCCUCUGAAGUUAUGCUCCCUGAUCAGAUCAAUUUACUGCAGAAAUAGUUAUAUUACAGCACUACCAGCUGGGAUCAGUGAACUCCAUAGUCUCCGCAGCCUUCGUUGUAGCAAAAAAGAAUCCCCGGUCUAUUUUAGUCCAAAUCUUCCCAAGCAUUGUUUGAUGGAGACAUUGCGCCUGCCCAUGCUAUGCACACCUUUAGUUGAUCUCGACGUGCAUGCUCACCUAGUUGCUGAGCUACAUAUGGGGAUCUCUAGCGGGUGGUCGGAUUCCAAGAGGGAUCAGCAACUUAAAGGACCUACAGAUACUAGAGAGAAGCUCUCCUCCUUGCACUCUCUUAGUGUGGAUGCUUACCAUGAUGGAUCACUCGAGUGGUUGCAUAAUGUUUCCUCUCCUCCUCCCCUGCUAAAGAAGUUGACGUUGGUCGGAGAUCUUGGAGGAAAGAUGCCCGAGUGGGUUGGAAGUCUGAAGCAUUUGGUGAAGAUUCACUUGAAGUGGAGCUACCUAAAGAAAGAUGAAUUCACGGAAGUGCUAGGAAAGCUGCCGAAGCUCAUGCUCCUAAGUCUAGAUGAUAAAGCUUAUGAAGGGGAGAAGUUAGUGUUCGGAGCAGAAGCAUUCCUAAAUCUCAGGCAACUUUGUAUUUAUGUUCUGUUGAGACUGAAGGAGGUGAGAUUCCAGAAGGGCGCCUUUCCCCAGUUGGAAACCAUAGAAAUCACCUGGUGCCAGUUGGGAUCAGGAAUUAUUGGUAUCAAUCACCUUCCAGUGCUCAAGCAGAUUUCACUUGGUUACAACGGGAAAGUGGCAAGGCUUGCUAUGCUGCAAGCUGAAGUGGACACACACCCCAGCAAUCCUGUGGUGCAACUCAAACAAGACCGCAGCCAGCAUGACUUGGGGGACGGCGUCCGAGAAUCCGUUGUUGUGGAAACAGAGGAUGAAGAGGAACCAUCCCUCCUCCUCGAGACUUGCAUGGGGGGAGAGAGGGCACAGUCAGAAGCGGCAGCCAUGCCCACGACGAACGUCAUCAGUGAUGCUCUCGUCUCAGUUUCUUUGGAAUCAUCACCACUUAUUGGUCCUGCUUCUACCACCAUGAAGACUACAGCUAGCAACGGACAACCGGAUGUGUCCUUGGAUUCAGAAGACAAGUCACCGGUCGACGGAAGACUGGCUACCACCAUUGAUGUGAUUUGUAUGUCUUAUGCUCGCAAAAACCUAACACACACGGCAACCGCAAGGCACGAUACCAGGAUAUGUGGUUCCCCUUCCACUGAUGGGACUGUGACCUAUAAUGAGACAAAUGAAGUCUCUGCUUCAUUACCUAUCAGACAAGGCAUCAGGCACCUGCAGGGGGCAAGGACAAAAUUAGCACGGAUCAUACCGGUGACAACAAAAGAUUAUCUUGUUCUUUCUCAACGGACUUUCAGUCAUACAGCCACUACCAACUCUUCGAUCCAGCAAGUGCGAACAGUAAAGAGUAAACAUGACACUGAACUACUGAGGGGGCGACGGCGAGGGAGACGCCGGCUCUUCUGCUCGCACUUGGACUUAUUUGUCUGCUGGGCUGGCCCAACUGGGCCCAGAUAA